CUUUAUUUACAAGGGUUCUGGGGAGGAGUGAAAAUGACAAAAGAGAGGUGGCAGGAAGGAGGAGGAUGUUUGAGUAUUCCCACAAACGGUUGAUUAGUCAGUGAAUUAAAGAGAGUUCUUGUUCCUGGAUAAUUUGGAAUGAACACAUUUCCUGUUCACUCAGAGAUACAGCAGCGAGUUUAUUCUGGGUGGCUUCCACAGUGACCAUUGUGGAGAAGAAAUCUUGUAAUAUAAUUGAAGAACAAUAGCCAUAUAAUUAACACAGAUGUUCAGGUAUGAGUCAUUGAAAAAUUAUCAUCCUUACUGUGAAAUAAGAUUGGUCAAGGCGAGGCUGGUCCUUCAAAGAAGGAAAACCCAACAUGGUGCAAUGUGUGCUGCAGUAAAUGGCAUGGGGAAAAUCUGAUUGCCACAGACAGAAGAAUGAAACUGGAUGCCUAUUUCUCACAAUACACAAAAGCGAUUCAAGAUUAAAGACUUAACUGUAAGACUUGAAACUGUAAAAAUACUAGAAGAAAAUCUAGGGAAAACUGUUCUGGACAUUGGCCUAGAAAAAGAAUUUCUGACUAAGACUUCAAAAGCACAGUAAACAAAAAUAGACAAACGGGACUUAAUGAAACUAAAACUCUUCUGCAGAGCAAAGAAAAUAAGAAACAGAGUGAACAGACAACCUGCAAAAUGGGAGAUAGACAAUGGAGACUAAGAAGAGCAAAGGAAUGACAGAGAGGUGGAGGAUGAGAAAUUACUUAAUGGAUACCUUGACUAUGAAUAAUAGUUUCAAUAAGGAAGACAGAAUGAGUUCUGACACGAUGGUUGGGAGCUGUGACAGGCAGACGAAAAAUGGAGCCAAAUGGCAUGGAGGUGUCAUGAUGUUGGAACAGUAACAAUAACUCAACCAACCAGGGCUUGUCUGAAUACAAUCCUACAGCAGCAGGAGCUGUGGAGAUAUAGAAGGCAAGGAAGACCAGGUUGUGAGGGAAGACGAAUUUACUCCCAGGAAUGUUGGGAUUGAGAGUAAUAUUCUCCAAUAAUGGUGGAAGACAGAACAAUAAAAGCCCACCAGCUCCUUCUGCAUGGUGGGAUAAGAGAAAAGCCAAGGGCAGAAGUGAGAAAAAUAACCAUCACCAAACUGAAAAGAAAACCUUUAUAAAAAAACUGGAUUGAUAAAUGACCUUUAGUAGUGGAAAGAUACCAUUCCAAUGAAGCAUGAAUUGAAAGGAUUUCUUCUGAAAGCUAAUUUACAUUUUUCUUUUUUUUUUUUUCAUUUUCAGUGUGUUUUAGCAGGUGUAUUGUUCUACAUGGUUAGUUUCUUUACCUCUUUGAGAAAAAUGGGUCAGCUUGACACAUCUGGAUGAAAGAAUCCGUUAGGUGAUUAUGAUUGAAGACAGAUUAAGCCUUGUUAUGAGGGGAAUAUUUGGGGGCUUACCCUGAGGUGAUAUUUGAUGAUUUAGCUGUGGGAGAAUUUCCCUCCCAAGAUCAGCGUGACUGACACUGAAAUUGCUACAGGGGAACCGGACCUUUCCAAGAGGUGACAAGGACAUUUACCUGGUACAACACAAUGGUUCUGGACUGGAAGUCUAGUCCCAUUGAUGAAGUUCCCAAAAGAUGUCCAGGUCCUAAUCCCUGGAAUCUGUGAAUAUGUCAUCUUACACAUCAAAAGAACUUUGAAAAUGUGAUUGAGGUUAAGGACCUUGGAAUGAGGAGAUUACCUUGGAUUAUCUGGUUGGGUCCAAGCUAAUCACAUGAGUCCUUAAAGGAGAAGAACCUUUUUUAGCUGGGUCAGAGAGAGAUGUGAUGAUGAAAACAGGCUCAGGGAGAUGCACUGUAAGAAGGGCUUGACCAGUUGUUUUUGACUUUGAAGAUGGAGGGAAGGGCCAGGAGCCAAGGAAGGUGGGUGGCUUUUGGAAGGUGGAAAAAGCAAGGGAACAUUCUCUCCAGAGCCUCCAGAAAGGAGCUCAGCCCUGUUGACAUCUUUGUUUUUAUUUUUUAUUUUUAGUAGCAUUGAGGUCUCACUAUGUUGCACAGGCUGGUCUUGAACUCUUGAGCUCAAGCACUCCUCCCGCCUUGGCUUCCCAAAGUGCUGGGAUUAUAGGCAUGUGCCACCACAUCUGGCUUCCUACUGACAUCUUAACUUUAGUGCAGUGAGACUCAUAUUUGAAUUUCUGACCUUAUAUUAUAGAACCAUAAGACAUUAUAGAAUUAUAUAGAAUUAUAGAACCAUAAGACAAUAACUUUGUGUUGUUUUAAGAUACUAAAUUUUUGGUAAUUUGUUAUGGCAGCACAAUAAAACCAAUAUAGCAUUAUAUUAUGCCAAUAUCAUCUCUUUGUUGACUAUUGCUAUUAUAGUUUGUUUUAUGGGUCUUGUGUAAACAAUCAAGCUAUAAUAUUGGGUUAACUCCCUAAGGAAAACUUGGAAUAUAGAACAUUAUUUUAAAGACUGAAUUAGGUAAAUACACCUGCCAGUGAAUACAUUAACAAAUUAAUUAAUAUAUUCACUCUUUUCACUCACAAAUACUUUUUGAGCCCCUAUUACUAGCCAAACAUUUUGUUAGAUUCUGAGAAGGGUCUGCUAGACAACAUUGUGACUAUAGUUAAUAACAAUAUAUUGUACUCUUGAAAAUUACUAAGAGAGUAGAUUUUAAGUGUUCUCACCACAAAAAAUAAGUAUGUGAGGUAAUGCAGAUGUUAGUUAGCUUGAUUUAGCCAUUCCCCAGUGUAUACAUAUUUCAAACCUUCAUAUUAUACAUGGAUAAAUAUAUACAAUUUUUAUUUGUCAAUUAAAAGCCCCUCGAUGAAUACAGUUUCCAUUCUGUCCUUGAGGUGGAGCUUGUAGACUUGGUGGGGUCCGGGGAUCAACUUUUAAACAGGCAGUUCCAAAGUGUGGAGUGGAUAGGCUUAUUCUCUUUGUUGCUUUUAUGAUAGGUAUUUAGAAUGCACUUUCCUCUGUUAAGUUAAGCCAGCCACCAUUCCCUCAUUCAGUUUCCAUCCUCCAUGAAUUUGCUCACAUCUGCGGUCUACUGUCACUCAUUCUUUCCUUCUCUUCCUGAGGGCUUGUGUGACUUAUGUUCUUGGCUUUCUCUUAGGAACAUGGUGCAGCUUGGCCCUGCAUUAUCCAUCUGGAAAAACAGAUCAUAAAACAGUCCUUCUCUGUACUAAGUGCUAAAGUAGGAGGAAGGGCAUAAGUCAGCUCCCUGAGCUAUAUAUCCUUGUUUUCAGGAGCUGAGCUAGACACAAGCAGAACUUGCAAAUAAUUUACAUUUCUUUCUGCUGAGGUGGUUCAGAAUAAGUUGCAACAAACAUGAACAGGAAUGGUGCAGUAAAU
rnacentral:lncRNA from 10 species